UUCACUGUUCUUGCAUUUCCGCUCCUAGAACGUUCACCUUCACUGAGCCAACCGAUGCCGUAAUACCGCGUUCACACACUUUAGAUUUAGCUCUCGAUCGCGGUCGUCAGUGCUCCUUGUGAUCGAGAUUACUUCCAUUGGGCGCGCCUAUAAGUUAAAAUUAAGUGAUCUAAUAUAACAUGAAUACUUAAGUCCUUGUGACUGUUUCGUCAGCUAUGGGCAGAUUAUCUGACAGAUUAUUGUCGUCGUGGAGAAAUAUUGGGUGGAUUUUCGACAACCAACUAAAUAUUCUCACGCGCUUUAAAAAAAAAGUUAGGCAGUUUCGGUUUUUUACUGCGUGAAGCGCUACACGAUGGUGCCAACUACUUCCUGAAACAAAAAGUAAGGCAGUUUCGGUUUCGGUUUUCUAAAGCGUGAAGCGCCACAAGGUGGUGCCAUCUACUUCCUGAAACAAGUGUCAUGGCGGCUUCCUGUUUGGCUUUUUGAAGUUGAAACAGCUCAAGUACCAAGCUUUCUUGCGCUAUUUUGAAUGAUAUUGUGUUCUUAAAUGUACGUCUUCGUUACAAGUAUACUUAGUACCAUCUAGAAAAUCAAGCAUCGAUAUUUAAUUUUCGGCGCUUUGUGUACCCGUCAUACCUGAAGGCAAGCAAAUAGCCACUGCGUCCUGCACGAACUUGUGGCCUGCCUAUCGAGGCCACUCCUCUCUGAACAAGGUUGUGUCAGUGUCCUCAGACCAAUGUGAUGUACUGGCAACAGGACGGGCUGUGUGCAGCUGUC